AGUACUUACUCGUUUAUAGAGGAUUAUUGAAGAAGAGAAAGAAAUUAAAAACAAUGAUUAAUAAACAGAACUUUAUUUUGGCAGCUUUGGUUGUAGUUCUUCUAUUCUCAACAGGAAUGGCUAGAGUUGUACUUACAACAGAGGUCUGCUUUGACACUUGUGCCAAAAUCCCUGAUUGUGAAACAUUUUGCACUAAGCGAGGCUAUCUGACAUCGCAAUGUCGUACAAAGGAAAAUAAUGUUUUAAUUUGUUGCUGUUACGAUCUUUAGGAAGCUAAAGCUUUUCUUCUUGUUUGAAGAAAACAUUAUGUUUCAUAGAUAUAAGUAACCUUCAUUAGAAGGAAAUAAAAUAUGAAUUGUUAUCAAGAAA